AAAUGAUUUGUCCAGUCCAUUGUUUGAGAUGCUUCACGAUCCCUCUCCUAUCUCCCCAUAUCUCCCAGUAGCAAACACACACACACACACACACACACACACACACACACACACACACCCUUCCUGGAGGCUGUUUUGAGUAGAUGGGGAGCGAACAGGAACCCAGGCUGUCCAUCCCACUUUGGCACACCCAGAGAUGGGGGUGCUGAGAUCUGGCAGGAUUCAUGACUGCAGGAAAAGGCUGCUGGAAAAGCUGGAGAGAAGAAGGGAUUAUUCAGCAAAAGGAACCAAGGUGACUUAUGAUCUAUGUGAUGAACACACCGAUCAGGAGGAAAACUCAAAUAAACCUAAUGAUGUGGCCAGAGGCUUUUGGAGAAAGAACUCCAGAAAGCAUGAGGUAGCAGGCUUCUGAAGAAUCCCAUUGCACUCAAGAAAAACACUAAAAGGAUAACUGUAUUAUUGAGCAAGCUACAGAUGAAGUUCCUCCAAGUUUGGAGGACAUCUCCCAUUUACUCCUCUUGUCCUGGCAUGGUUAUUAAUCACCCCACUUUUGCUCUCAGGAUGCCCUAAUUUGCA
rnacentral:lncRNA from 1 species